rnacentral:ncRNA from 1 species
AACGCUCAGCUCAGAACUGGCACGGGACUAGGGGAAUCCGACUGUCUAUUAAACAAAGCAUUGCGAUGGCCCUCGCGGGUGUUGACGCAAUGUGAUUUCUGCCCAGUGCUCUGAAUGUCAACGUGAAGAAAUUCAAGCAAGCGCGGGUAAACGGCGGGAGUAACUAUGACUCUCUUAAGUCAUGGCCGGACGUGCUCGUGAUCGCUCCGUCUUUGGUGGUUUGUUUAAGUGUUAAAAAAUACGACUGCUGUUACAUGUGUGUGCUUAUCGGACUCGUCUUUUUGCGCGCUACACGCCUGUGUGCGGCUUUCGGUCGUGGGAGGUGACUUUCACCCGGAAAUCAGUACUGAAACAUCCGUGCAUGUAUAAGCCAUAUAGUGACACAUGGUGUUUGUUUUCGCAUUUCCUUUCUUCCGGGAGUGGAAAUACUGUGUGCAUAUGUUGUGUGCCGUGCUUUUCUAUCCAUUUCGGCGUUUGAAUGACUAAAAUCCGUCAGGAUUCGCCGGAUUUAUCGCGAUUCUUAUUU